UAUGCCUUCCCUCAUCACUGACCUUCUGAGCCCAAAGUGACUGCUUCCUACCCAGCCUGGUAUCAAGGUCUUCUGACCACUUUCUCUUCAAUCUUGUUGCUGAGUUGAGCUGAAUAACUUGGCUGGAACGUCAUGAGACCCACAGGGCAAUCUUCUGGUUUUAAGACCUGUCCAAGUGCUGUUUAGGUCAGCUGCCUGAGAGGAGCAAUGCAGUCUACAGCCACUGACUGGGAUGGGCUGGCCCAGGGGCGGCUGAAACCAUGGCCUUGGCCUCAUCUAGGCUCACUUCUGCUGCAGCCAAUGCACCAGGACCUCCGAAAAGAUGUCCAGGAGCCCUGGCUGAGAGGCGCCCACUGAAUCUCCCAGGCAGAAUACUGGCCAUCUUCCGUGGCUUCGACCCCUGAGGGGCCACCAUCUGAGAAUGAGAAGGCCCAGCCCUGGGGAAAUCCCUAGUCUCUGUUUCCAGCAGUGCUAGUGAUUUCCCAAGGAGUGACAUUAGAAAAGUCAUCACACAUUUAUUUCUGUAUAUAUCAUUCAGAGCCUAAUUUUCUGGUGGCUGAAGGUUGAGCUCAUCAGAAACAGACUUCAUCAUCAAUUGAGUUAAUAAAGCCAAGUCAAGACAAGGGAGAAGGGCAGCUAUCCAGAUGGAUUCAAGCAGCCAAGAGGUGCUUCUGCUCAAAGACUACCUUUAAAGGAGGGAAGAGAAAGAAGUGAGAGCAGAUACCUGUACACCGUGUUCAUAACAAUAUUAUUCACGAGAGUCAAAAGGUGGAAGCAACCCAAGUGUCCAUCCAUGAAUGAAAGAAUAAACAAAAUGUGGCACAAACAUACAAUGGAAUAUUGUUCAGCUUUAAAAAGGAAGGAAAUUUUGAUAUAUGCUACAACAUGGAUAAACUUGGAGACCUCUGCCAAGUGAAAUAAGCCAGUCACAAAGGCCAGUACACAAAACAUUGUAUGAUUUCUUUUGUAUGAAGUUCCUGGAGUGGUCAAAUUCAUAGAGGCAGAAAGUAAAAUGAGGGGGAGUUAGUGCUUAAAGGAUACAGAGCUUCUGUUGGAAAGGAUGAAGUUCUGGUGAUGGUUGCACAACUGUGUGAAUGUACUUAAUGCCACAGAACUAUAUACUUAAAAAUGGUUAAAAUAGUAAAUUUCAUGUUGUGUAUACUUUACCAUAAUAAAAAGGUGGAGGAGAAGUUUGACACCUUAAUUCA